GCGAAAGCGACGUUCAACCGCAAAAGAAGCAGAGGGGGCUUAGUGGUGGGGUGACUGCGUACCUUUUGUAUAAUGGGUCAGCGACUUAUAUUCUGUAGCAAGGUUAACCGAAUAGGGGAGCCGGAGGGAAACCGAGUCUUAACCGGGCGUUAAGUUGCAGGGUAUAGACCCGAAACCCGGUGAUCUAGCCAUGGGCAGGUUGAAGGUUGGGUAACACUAACUGGAGGACCGAACCGACUAAUGUUGAAAAAUUAGCGGAUGACCUGUGGCUGGGGGUGAAAGGCCAAUCAAACCGGGAGAUAGCUGGUUCUCCCCGAAAGCUAUUUAGGUAGCGCCUCGUGAAUUCAUCUCCGGGGGUAGAGCACUGUUUCGGCUAGGGGGCCAUCCCGGCUUACCAACCCGAUGCAAACUGCGAAUACCGGAGAAUGUUAUCACGGGAGACACACGGCGGGUGCUAACGUCCGUCGUGAAGAGGGAAACAACCCAGACCGCCAGCUAAGGUCCCAAAGUCAUGGUUAAGUGGGAAACGAUGUGGGAAGGCCCAGACAGCCAGGAUGUUGGCUUAGAAGCAGCCAUCAUUUAAAGAAAGCGUAAUAGCUCACUGGUCGAGUCGGCCUGCGCGGAAGAUGUAACGGGGCUAAACCAU
rnacentral:rRNA from 1 species